rnacentral:rRNA from 1 species
AACGAACGCUGGCGGCAUGCCUAACACAUGCAAGUCGAACGAUGCUUUCGGGCAUAGUGGCGCACGGGUGCGUAACGCGUGGGAAUCUGCCCUUGGGUUCGGGAUAACCGUUGGAAGCGACGGCUAAUACCGGAUGAUGACGUAAGUCCAAAGAUUUAUCGCCCAGGGAUGAGCCCGCGUCCGAUUAGGUAGUUGGUGGGGUAAAGGCCUACCAAGCCGACGAUCGGUAGCUGGUCUGAGAGGAUGACCAGCCACACUGGGACUGAGACACGGCCCAGACUCCUACGGGAGGCAGCAGUGGGGAAUAUUGGACAAUGGGCGAAAGCCUGAUCCAGCAAUGCCGCGUGAGUGAUGAAGGCCUUAGGGUUGUAAAGCUCUUUUGUCCGGGACGAUAAUGACGGUACCGGAAGAAUAAGCCCCGGCUAACUUCGUGCCAGCCGCCGCCGUAA